rnacentral:tRNA from 1 species
GAGAUGUUAGUAAAUACAUUACACUACUUUGUCAAGGUAGAAUAACAAAAUUAAUCAUUGUACAUCUUU